rnacentral:rRNA from 1 species
AGUACGUGAAAUUGUUGAAAGGGAAACGCUUGAAGUCAGUCGCGUCUUCAGAAAUUCAGCCUGGCUUCUGCCUGGUGUACUUUUCUGUAGGACGGGCCAGCAUCAGUUUUGGCCGCCAGAAAAAGGUGAGAGGAAGGUGGCACCUCCGGGUGUGUUAUAGCCUCUUGUCGUAUGUGGCGGCUGGGACUGAGGAUCGCAGCAUGCCUUUAUGGCCGGGGUUCGCCCACGUAACGUGCUUAGGAUGCUGGCGUAAUGGCUUUAAGCGACCCGUCUUGAAACACGGACCAAGGAGUCUAACAUGCCUGCGAGUAUUUGGGUGGUAAACCCAUAUGCGGAAUGAAAGUGAACGGUUGGGACUUCUGUCAUGGAAGGCACCGACGCCCCGGACUAGAUCCAUUGGUGACGGAUCCGAGGUAGAGCAUGUAUGUUGGGACCCGAAAGAUGGUGAACUAUGCCUGAGUAGGGUGAAGCCAGAGGAAACUCUGGUGGAGGCUCGUAGCGAUUCUGACGUGCAAAUCGAUCGUCGAACUUGGGUAUAGGGGCGAAAGACUAAUCAAACCAUCUAGUAGCUGGUUCCUGC